CACAAGCAGCGGAGCGUGUGGUUUAAUUCGAUGCUACACGAAGAACCUUACCAGGGUUUGACAUGCAAGUGGUAGGAAACCGAAAGGCGACCGACCCUUCGGGGAGCUUGCACAGGUGCUGCAUGGCUGUCGUCAGCUCGUGUCGUGAGAUGUUCGGUUAAGUCCGCUAACGAGCGCAACCCUCGUCGUAUGUUAUAUGUGUCAUACGAGACUGCCGGUAAAAGCCGGAGGAAGGUGAGGAUGAUGUCAAGUCAGCAUGACCUUUAUAUCCAGGGCUACACACACGCUACAAUGGUCUGUACAAUGGGUAGCCAAGCCGCGAGGCGGAGCCAAUCCUGAAAGCAGGCCUCAGUUCAGAUUGCAGUCUGCAACUCGACUGCAUGAAGCCGGAGUUGCUAGUAACCGCAGGUCAGCAAUACUGCGGUGAAUACGUUCCCGGGUCUU
rnacentral:rRNA from 1 species